AUCUAGGGCCCAGUUAGUUCUUCCUUUUGGUGAAAGCUGGGCUCUUCAGUUCAGCAUGGCACAGCUCCAAAGAUUCUGCAACAUCAAACCCUCUGUCUGCUAAUGUUACAUCACCUGGGCUGAGGCAGUCCAGGUAAUUUCAACACUUUCUUGAAAUUAGUUAAUUCAGAUAUAAACAGAGUGACAGUUUACAGAUUCAAACAUGUCUCAGAGAAAACAGAAAAAAACAGUAAAGCCCAACUCUCCUCUUUGUGAUCAGGAAGACAAAAUUCAACUUCCUGAUCAAGUAGACAAAUCAUUCAACCAGCUUCUAGAAAAGGAAGAUAUUCAAAAGUUGAAAGAAAUGGAACUCCUAGACAUGCAGGGAAGAAACUUUGAGCUCCAAGCAAAGCUUGAUAAAGCACUAGAAAAACUAGUGCUGAAGGACAAAAAGAAUCAGGAGCUGCAAGUAAAGCUUGAUGAAAGACCGCACACAAAUGAAGAGUUUCUUCAAGAAAAAAGGCUACAGGAGAUAAAACAGAAGGAAAUGGAUUUCAAGCUCCAGGACCUGGAGAAACACAACAAAGGCUUGCAAAUCAAGCUUAAUGAAGCUCUGCAAAAAAAAUUAAGAACUCCUCCAAGAAAAAUAACAACAGGACAUGAAGCAGUGCAAACUCCAAGGCAUGGAGGAAAAAUACAAAGCGCUUCAGGUAAAGCUUGAUAAAACACUGAACAAAAAUAAAGAGUUGCUUCAAGAACAAAAGCAACAAGAAAUUAAACAGAAACAAACGGACUGCAAGCUUGAAGACGUGCAGGAAAAAUACACAGCGCUGAAAAUGAAACUUGAUAAAGCCAGAGGUGGGACCAAGUCAUUGUUUUGCAAGUCUCAAGUAAGUCUCAAGUCUUUAUCCUCAAGUCUCAAGUCAAGUCUCAAGUAAUGUCAGGCAAGUCAGAGUCGAGUCUCAAGUCACUGGUGUAAAAGUCCGAGUAAAGUCACAAGUCUGAAAUUUUGAAUUUCAAGUCCUUUCGAGUCUUUAAAAAGAAAAAAACAAAAAAAUAAUGUUGCAGUUAUGCUAAAUGUAAAUAUUAGACCAUGUAAUUUUUAAAUCUGUGUUUUUCUCAACACAUGACAAAAUAGUGAACGUAGAAAAUAUACACAAAUUGUGAAAUUGCACCUCUUUAAAAUGCAGCUAAAUUAAACCUAGCUCCAAGGAUAAUUUUCACCGACAGUUCUGAGAUAAGCUGCAUGUUAUUCUUGGAUGCGGUUGUAGGACCGGUGUCGUGCCAAAGUAGGUAUCCCCGACAGAAUUUGUUUCCCCUGUGCUGGGAGCGUGCAGGAAGUACUGAUGUUUUCAUUUUGUGAAAAAUUAGUAUCGUUACA
ensembl:lncRNA